rnacentral:misc_RNA from 1 species
AGCAGCCGCGGUAAUUCCAGCUCCAAUAGCGUAUAUUAAAGUUGUUGCAGUUAAAAGCUCGUAGUUGAAUUUCGGGAUUGACACAUCGGUCGUGCCUUAAGGGGUAUGAACUGGUGUAGUCAAUUUCUCACCUUCUGGAGAACCGCGAUGCCCUUAAUUGGGUGUCGCGGGGAACCAGGACCUUUACUUUGAAAAAUUAGAGUGUUUAAAGCAGGCAUUUUGCUUGAAUACAUUAGCAUGGAAUAAUAAAAUAGGACGGCAUGAUUCUAUUUUGUUGGUUUCUAGGAUCACCGUAAUGAUUAAUAGGGAUAGUUGGGGGCAUUAGUAUUCAAUUGUCAGAGGUGAAAUUCUUGGAUUUAUUGAAGACUAACUACUGCGAAAGCAUUUGCCAAGGAUGUUUUCAUUAAUCAAGAACGAAAGUUAGGGAUACGAAGACGAUCAGAUACCGUGUAGUCUUAACCAUAAACUAUGCCGAUAGGGAAUCAGACGUAUGUUUAAUUUUUUAAUGUACUUCGUUUUG